ACUCCUACGGGAGGCAGCAGUAGGGAAUAUUGGUCAAUGGACGGAAGUCUGAACCAGCCAUGCCGCGUGCAGGAAGACGGCCUUCUGGGUUGUAAACUGCUUUUAUCAGGGAAGAAUAAGCUUCUUGCGAGAGGUGAUGCCGGUACCUGAGGAAUAAGCACCGGCUAACUCCGUGCCAGCAGCCGCGGUAAUACGGAGGGUGCAAGCGUUGUCCGGAUUUAUUGGGUUUAAAGGGUGCGUAGGCGGCCUGUUAAGUCAGUGGUGAAAGGUAUCAGCUCAACUGAUGACGUGCCAUUGAAACUGGCGGGCUUGAGUACAGACGAGGUAGGCGGAAUUUAUGGUGUAGCGGUGAAAUGCAUAGAUACCAUAAAGAACACCGAUAGCGAAGGCAGCUUACUAGGCUGAGACUGACGCUGAGGCACGAAAGCGUGGGGAGCG
rnacentral:rRNA from 1 species